GAUUAUUUUACUUUGGUAAGAUCAAAAAGCUUACCUAAUUAAUCUAUAUUGAUUCAUUCAUCUAAUUAUCAUCUAUUUAAACCCAUUAGAAGACCAUUUUGGGCCCUUUUUAUCAAUUUUCCACGCAGCCCACCAUAGCUGCCCAGCCCAAAUUUAAAUCAGUAACCCAUCUACUCCUUCAAGCCCAACUCUUCCCUUCGACCCGAUAAAACGCCCUUUUCCUAACCCGGCCACGUCUUCUUCUCCAAGAGAAAUAUCCAGGACGCGCGUCCGCUCCAACUUCCAAAGGACAACUCUCCAGAAGGCGCUUCUUCAGCAUCAGCGAGCGAGUGAGAAGAUUGUAGCGGCAUGCGCGUCGCCCUCCUCGUGUGAAGACUGACGCAUCCCGACGUAUCUCUCCACUUUUUCGUACAAGUUUCAGCAGCAGCAAGAGCAGCUGCUAUGGCAGCGCAGAAUCGUCCUUCCAAGCGUGAGAUCAAGCCAUGCAAGAGCGCAAGGACGUUAUCUUUGAUCCGAGCCGUCCAGCGCUCUUUGUUUUUCUAGAUAUUGCGGGAUUUGGGUCGAAUCCCAUACGAAAACCCAGCUAGCUCCUUCGUCCUCGGGGUUUUUCGAAUUCAAAAGGGGAGUUGAAUUCUCAUUUUUACCCUGUUUUUUUUUCGAAAAUUCCCCCGCCUCCCCCUUCUUCAGAACCCUAAAAUUCUGCUAUAAAUAAUCGCUUGGAGCAGAAGGGAAGGGAUUUUUUUGGGGGGUAUUUUCUUUGAAGGAGGGAGGAGAAAUUUAUCUUGAGAUUUAAAGUCAGAAACAGAUUUUAGUUGAGAGAAUUGAAAGAAGUCUCCAGGAAAACACUAAGAAGUCGAAAAUUCACCAAAUACGAUUAGUGAGGUAAGGGUUGGUAUCUUCUGAGUUGUGAGACUCAACUGCCAUCCAAACCUUUUUUUUUUUUUUGGGGGGGGGGGGUUGAGUUCAGUACGGUUGUGAGAAGAUCGUCACUUUGGCUCGUGUUUUCCCUGUUUCGCUGCCCACUACAAGGUUGGUUCUACAUUCUCUCCAAUUGAUAUCUCUUCAGAUGAUUCAGACCUGUGUUAAAUAGACAACUACACAGAUGAGUCUCCUCUCAGAGAUUCUGCUACUUCUCGAAUCCUUCCAACAUGUAAAGAAUUGGCCUUUUUCUCUCCCUGGCACAAACUUAUUCCGAGUAUGUCUAUAACUGAGACCGUGGAACAAUGUCAGAUAGUCAUCCAACCCAAAAGGUUUCGUCACCCACAAGACCAAGUUAUCUUAAUGGAGGCUCUCUAACUAUCAUAGUAAUAGAUCUAUGAAUCCUUUAACUAUAUUACUGAUGACAAUGGACCAUCAAGUUCGCGAGCAAUUAGAGACGUGAAUUUCGAGUUCUAUUCUGCAAAUGGUAAUAAUGAUCUGUCACAAGUAUUAAAGGCAGGAAUAGUUCACACAGUACUGUUUAUUGAAAAAGAAAACCUUUAUUUGUGAUGCAUAUAGUAGGAAGCAUUUUAUGCAACAAACUCUAAAGCGGACACUUCCAACAUCCCUUCAGACUUUGGAUAUACCUGACAGUUAAAAUCGUCAAUCAAAGAUCAUACCAAUCUGCAUGGGCAGGUUCAAGCAGGGGCAACCAUGAUGAGUUAGUACUCUAUGAAAACAAAGAAAGCAGAGUAUUACCUCUGUCUCUGAUGCCGCUUCUUUAUAACAAUGUAAAUGAUUCCUUACAUUACCAUGGGACAGCUGAUGAGAGACUGAUCUUUCAAGCUGUUCUGCAGGUACUUGGUUAUGCCCGCCCUUGUGAUCCGUAAAUGUUGUAGAAGAUAAAUUCAGUAACGGUUUCCUCUUAUUUCACAAAUACUUUAAAGCAAUAGACAUCCAAACAUAUAA